CCUACGGGAGGCAGCAGUGAGGAAUAUUGGUCAAUGGCCGGAAGGCUGAACCAGCCAUGCCGCGUGAAGGUCAGUGCCCUAUGGGCGUUAAACUUCUUUUGUGCGGGAGCAAUAAUGGUCACGUGUGGCCAGACGAGAGUACGGUACGAAUAAGCAUCGGCAAACUCCGUGCAAGCAGCCGCGGUAAUACGUAGGGGGCAAGCGUUAUCCGGAUUUACUGGGUGGAAAGGGAGCGUAGACGGCGUGGCAAGCCAGAUGUGAAAGGCUGGGGCUCAAACCCAGGACUGCAUUUGGAACUGUCAUGCUAGAGUGUCGGAGAGGCAGGCGGAAGUCCUAGGGUAGCGGUGAAAUGCGUAGAUAUUAGGAGGAACACCAGUGGCGAAGGCGGCCUGCUGGACGAUGACUGACGUUGAGGCUCGAAAGCGUGGGGAGCAAACAGGAUUAGAUACCCUUGUAGUC
rnacentral:rRNA from 1 species